rnacentral:rRNA from 1 species
UACGUAGGGUGCAGGCGUUAAUCGGAAUUACUGGGCGUAAAGCGUGCGCAGGCGGUCUUUUAAGUCAGAUGUGAAAUCCCCGGGCUUAACCUGGGAACUGCGUUUGAAACUGAAAGGCUAGAGUGUGGCAGAGGGGGGUGGAAUUCCACGUGUAGCAGUGAAAUGCGUAGAGAUGUGGAGGAACACCGAUGGCGAAGGCAGCCCCCUGGGCCAGCACUGACGCUCAUGCACGAAAGCGUGGGGAGCAAACAGG